rnacentral:lncRNA from 12 species
AUGCCCAGGGGCAUCCUCAGCGCCCCCUCCUGGCCCUCGGCGCCUGCCUGUCUGGUCGUGGACACUUGCGGGCCUGACAGCCGAACUCCACCGACAGCCACUGCCCCCUCGGCCCUGCCUUCCUCCUGGGCCCCCAGGGUGACCAGCUCCACCUCGGGGAUCUUAAGCGGCCCUGCCGUGGGCUCUGGCUUUUCUCCCGGGCUGACGCGCCCACCCUGGACUUCCGCUUCCUUCCCCCGAGCCAGCCCGAAGGAGGGCAUCUUCAGCUUAGGCAUCUUCACCUUCCCAUCCCAACCCCAGCCCUUGGCCUCCAACUCGCCCACCCCUGGCGCUAGUUCUCCCGCCUCAGCGUCCCGGCCUCUGACCCCAAACUUGGGCAGGGCAAACCUGGGCCCCUUGACCUUGACGUCAGCCCCUGCCACCUCCACCUUGCUUGUGGGCAGAUGGGCAUCCAGGCCGAGCUGCGGGAUGGACAGAUCGAGGGCGGGCAGCAGGCCUGCUGCCUCUCCUGCCCCUUUGGCCUCGGCUUCAGUCCCCGCUCGGGCCUUGGGGAGUGAGAUGGUGAACUUGGACACCUUCGGCUUGGUGGCCCGCCCGGGCGCCUCGGCCUCGGCCUUGGCCACUUUGGGCCCCGAGAGUCCAAACUUGGGCAGGGAGAACUUGGAGGAGGGCUUGACUUUCAUCUCCAUCUCCUCUAGCCGCCCCUCCACCUCCACCUCCCCCGAGGGCAGCUGCGGAGGGGCGAUUUCAACCGAGGGCAUCCGAAAGGCCGCCUCCCCGACCCCCGCGGCUCCCCCAGGGCCCUCUGGCCGCUCCACCUUGCCCACGGCGGCCGCUGGGACCUGCGCCUCCGGACUGAGGACCCUUGGCAGGUCUAGCUCCACGGAGGGCAGCGUGAGAGAGGGGACACCCGCUCGAGCCUCGGGGCCCACUUCCGGCUGCAGACAGGGAAGCGUGAGCAGCUUCCCAGAGACCUCAGCCCCUGCCUCACCCGGCUUGCCUCGUGAUGGGGACUCCGCCCUCCCUAGCUUGGGCAUGGUCAUCUUGGGCAGCUUGAUGCCAAAUUCCACCCUCUCUGCCUGUUCCCCUUUGAGCUGCACCUCCGGGGCCUUGGGCAGCUUCACCUCUGGGACCUUUGGCAGAUGCACCUCUGGGGCCUUUGGCACCUGCAUUUCCGGCAGCCUCAUCUCCGACACCUUUGGCAGCUGCACCUCCGGGAGGUGGACAUCAGGCACGGCCAUCUCAGGCACCUUGGGGAGCUUUAUCUCGGGGAGUUUCAUCUCGGGGACUUUCAUCUCUGAGACCUUUGGCAACUGUACCUCCGGGAGCCGCACCUCGGGCACAGCCAUCUCGGGCAUCUUCGGGAGCUUCACCUCGGGGAGCUUCAUCUCGGGGACUUUGGGGAGCUGUACUUCUGGGAGAUGCACCUCGGGCACGGCCAUCUCGGGCACUUUCGGGAGCUUCAUCUCAGGCACCUUCGGGAGCUUCAUCUCGGGGAGCUUCAUCUCUGGAACCUUGGGGAACUGUACUUCUGGGAGCCGCACGUCAGGCACAGCCAUCUCGGGCACCUUCGGGAGCUUCACCUCGGGGAGCUUCAUCUCUGGAACUUUGGGGAGCUGUACUUCUGGGAGCCGCACCUCGGGCACGGCCAUCUCGGGCACCUUCGGGAGCUUCAUCUCGGGGAGCUUCAUCUCUGGAACUUUGGGGAGCUGUACUUCUGGGAGACAGCACCUCGGGCACGGCCAUCUCGGGUACCUUUGGUAG